AACGCGAACUCGGACAACGAAACGGACAACAACGAUUGAAACGAUGGCAAGCGCUGCCGAUAACUGGGUCAAAAAGACGACGGAUCAAGAAAUUUCUGCACUCGGUUAGCGAACUGAGUACAUAUCACCAAGGAUAAGGAUUCAGAGCCGGUGGCUGGCAGUCCAGAGAAAGAGAAUGCGGAAAAACCUAGUCCACCGGCAGUAGAACCAAAGCUGCACCUGAUGUUUGGAGUUCGGUAGCUACUGACUCUAGCAGCUCCUGAAGAAAAACAAGCUGCAAGAGAAAAUGGAGAAACAGCUUCCUCCGCGGAAGAUGCAGAGGCAUUCAACCCGGCGGAUGCAAGUUUGCUAAUGAAAGAUGUUCGCUAAGGUCUAGUAGAAUCAAAGCUGGAUCUGGAGGUGCAGCGGAAGGAUUCUUCUUCGCCGAUUGGUUGGUUAAAACUUUCGAAGCUUUGCACAUGAAGCAGGAAUUACUACAGAGAGUCUAUGCGAUGGGUUUCAACGCCCCUUCCAAGAUU